rnacentral:lncRNA from 10 species
GCGCGACGUCACCCUCCCCACGAAGGGGGUAAAAAAGUCCCCCGCGUUCCCAGCUUGGGGUGGUUUGCGAACAGAGUGACCAGCCGUUUGGUAAAAGUUAAAUAACGAACUUUCGUUAAAGGAGCUAGUCAUCCAGGUCGGGUCUUGAAGGAUGGUCGAUUUCUCCAGGAAUGAGGAUCUUUGAAAGCAACUCGGCGCCUUCAAAGCACUUGGUGAAACCUAGCCUAAAGCGUUGUCCCACCAUGCUCUGCGGCGAUAACGGCCUUUGGCGGGAAAGAGUCUCGGAGGCGGGGCCAAAGGGGGACGGCCCGGGCGGUUGCUCCGGAAACCCGGUACCGUUCCGCCUUCUCGUCAGAACUUUGCAUAGCUCGGGUCAGCACUCCUAGUGCUAGUCGCAGUGGGUCCGUAUCCCGACCGGCAACGUGGUACCCGCCAACCAGAAGGGGUAACACCGUACCGCCUAUGGGACCCACACCUUUUUAUCUCUUGUUAGUCGCCUGUCCGUGGGACUAGCGCAGAAUGCCUGCAGAAUGAAUCGUUUCUGUUGUUUCCUUUCAAAGAACGAGAAGGAAGAAAGGGUGCGUGUGUGCAGUCCUUUUUUCAAAAGUUUUCCCUAAAAGUUACUGAUACACCAGGUUUUGAAAAUACCGGUCCUCUCAGGUAAUAAAAUGGAGCAAAAUGGAUGUGAGAACCGUAACCACUAGAUACCGCGGUUGCUAUUCAGGACUGUGAUCCUGUUUGCCUGCGGCAUUGGGAGAUAACAUUUUACAUUUUUUUUCGACGUCUGAAAUCUGGAUUUUUAUGUGAAAUCCUGGGAUUUUUAAACGUCGCUAAUGAAUUAAAAUUCAAAUCAGGCUGGGCGCGGUGGCUCACGCCAGCACUUUGGGAGGCCGAGGCGGUUGGAUCACUUGAGGUCAGGAAUUCGAGACCAGCCUGGCCAACAUGGUGAAAUCCCGUCUCUACUGAAAAAACAAAAAAUUAGCCGGGCUUGGUGGCAGGCGCCUGUAAUCCACUCUACGCGGGAGGCUGAGGCAGGAGAAUCGCUAGAACCCUGGAGGCGGAGGUUGCAGUGAGCUGAGAUGGCGCCAUUGCACUGCAGCCUGGGCUACAGAGUGAGACUCCUCCAAAAAAAAAAAAAAGGAGGGGGAAACAACAACAAAUUAAAAUCAAACCCUGCAGUCAUAAAUUUGCCAUAACAGAUCUACACACUGAAUUUAAGGGAUAAUUUUCUUCAUGUUAUUUAUUUACAGUAGUCCCUUUCCGCAAGGAUGUGAGGCAACUUACAGAGAUACCAUAAAACAUGAAAACUAGAUGAGGCUGGGCGUGGUGGCUCACUCCUGUAAUCCCAGCACUUUGGGAGGCCGAGGCGGGCGGAUCACCUGAGGUCAGGAGUCGGAGACCAACAUGUCGAAACCCGUAUCUUCUAAAAAUACAAAACAUUAGCUGGGUAUGGUGGCGCGUGCCUGUAAUCCCAGCUACUCGGUAGGGUGAGACAGGACAAUCUCUUGAACCCUUAGGAGGUGGAGGCUGCAGUGAGCGGAAAUCACGCCACUGCACUCCAGCCUGGGUGACAGAACAAGACUCCAUCUCACACACACACAAAAAAAAUGCUAGAGUAAGAAAUCAGAGGAAUGGGAAAAUGAGGGGUGGAUUAAAUGAAAUACGCAUAAAUUACUAUACAAAAUGCCUGCAGUGAAAGCCCGUUGAAUUUGUUGAGAUAGAUUGCAAAUUUUACUUUAGUCUUCCCAGAAGUCACGGUAAAGAAGGGUACAGAAGUAUUGUGUAUUCAAAAUCCAAAGUGCCUUUGGGAUAAAAGUAAAUAGGUCAUUCAGGAGAAGGACAUGUUUUCUUAAUUCUAAAAGCUGAUGAAAUAUAUUUUACAAAUGUUUCUCGGUGACCCCAAAAUACAAAUUCAAUUUGAAAUGAGCAGGGAUGCUUGGUCUUGUGGCCGUAGAUCCUCGGUAUAUCUACAGAUGACCUUUGGUAAUCCUUG